ACAUACAUAAUCAACUUAGCAUAUCAUAUCACAAAAGUGUCUAACAUACUACAUAACACAUACAUAAACCUGUAAGGAUGUCGUGGGCUCCCCCAGGGUCUUGUACCAUCGUGUCAUGGGUUACCCCACAUGGUCUUUACCUAGGAACGCCAUGGGCUACCCCACAUGGUCUUAUAUCCAACUACCACAGGCUCCCCCCGGGGUCUUCCAUGCAAUAACAUACAAUCACUAGCAUACCACUUAGCAUAAAGCUAAUUAUCAUACCACAUAUUUCUACAACCUCUAGUGUGCCACAUAACAUAAAAUGGGCCGGCCUUGGUGCCUUAGACCCAUUGGUAUGGUAAGAAGACUCACCUCGCACUGCAGAAGCUUCCCGCAUGAAUUCCUUAGCUGCUGCCCCGCCAGCUUCCCGAGCUUCAUCAAGCUGAGAAUGAGUCCCAAAAGCCAGAUCCAUAAGCUCCUCCUUGAUUGCAUCAAACACCAUCUUCUUGAAAAUGAAUCAAACACCCCAAAAAUGGACUCCAUAAGCUCAAAAUGCCACCGUGGAUGAUAUAUGACGAUUUCUAGGGUUUAGAGGGGUGGAGGCCAAAGAUAUUAGGGUUAGGUUAUGAGAUAAGGAACUUAAAUAGGGUCCAAGACCCUAAAAUAGGGUUCCGAUCGACUGGCGUACGCCCAACGUACUCCGAAGAACAUUCACGACCAUCCUGGUCAGUACGCCCAACGUACUCCAAGGUACGCCCCGUGUACUGCCUUCUUCACUAGUACGCCCCGCGUACUCUUUGUGUACACCCCACUUACUCUUUCUGAAUGCCAUAACUUCUUCGUUAUAAGCCUGAUUCUGAUGAUCCUUAUAUCCACAGAAAGGCGAUGAGAAGCCCUACACUUUUAUCAACUCAUACCUUCCUUAAUACCUUACGAACAUAAGUCCAUCUUCCACAAAAGCCCGAACUGCCACUUCACCAAAAUACCUAUAGGCUCCAAAACACAAACCGAACACCUGUAUCACUUUUAAUACAUCACUUGCACCCAAAUGGGCCUACAUCUUACCUUUUCAAAAACCCUAAUCCUUAUGAUGACCGAUCUACGAGCUACAUCCUUAGACUAAGAAUCGAUUCGGAACAGGAUGUUACAUUACCGACGACAUUUUAUCGUCGCUAUACCUCUAUUUUUUUUGUUGUGAAUCACAGGUCAAACGAGGUUAAGGGGUGAAUCGGAGGAAACGGGUCGAGAUCGAGGGCGGUCUUGAAAUUCACGACAGGGAAACGGGAGAACUCGAGGUCGGGAUCAUGAUCGUGAUUAAGGUCGGGGAAACAAGCAAAUUCAUUGGCAGGGGAGGGUAUGUAUGCCCCCGUUUGGUCUCUUUGACAUCCAAACUUAGGUGCGACUUCACUAGAGAGGAGUUGGUUUUGUAAUGCAUGGUUUCUGGUAUGUAUUUAAACUUAUAAUUUAUUCAUUUUUAUAGAGAAACUCGACGAGUCGGAAGCCCAGACUCGUCGAGUAGAGAUGUUUUGGACCGUGCGUUUUGGUGACCAACUCGACGAGCUGGGAGACCUCAACUCGAUGAGCUGGUUGGGUAAAAUGAAACCCUAAUUCCAGGGUUAUGCACCCUAUUUAAACACCUUAAACCUUUCAUGUUGACCUCAUUUCCCAGCCUCCAUUGUCCUAACCCUAAAUCUAGAAAACCUAAGGCAUUUGUGAGAGUUUGUGAGCCAUUUUGGGUGUUUUUGGUGUCUGUUGAAUCCAUUGGAAGAAGGAAAAUCUUGAAGACUCAAGAAGGAGCUUAUAGAUCCAGAAUCCUUGCCUCAUCCACGACUCUUUUCUGAUAUAAAGCUUAAACCUUGCCUUGUAGUUGUUUAGAUCUUCUUUUGGGGUUAUUUUGCUUGGUUUUGGCCCAAAUAUCAUGGUCCUUGGGAGUUGGACAUCCCAAAUGGGUUAAUACUUCAGAACUAGGGUCUUGAGGGGUUUUCAUGGCAUAAAGGUGCUAACUUUAUGGCCAUGGAAGUCCCAUACAACCUUUAGACCAUCAUUUUGAUCCUUUAAGAUCCAAAUGGCCAUGCAUGUGGAUAAAGUUUAAGAUUUUACGUGACCUUUCAGUCCCUAGAGUCGAUAUCUAUGACCUCAGGUCUAUCUUGUAGUUUUGGUGGCUUUUGGAUGAAGACUUUGGCAUUUGUGGGUUAGGGUUUGAGCUUAAUCUCAUUAGGAAGGGUAUUAAUAGAUAAAGUUGGAAACUUUACCCUCCUAGAGGCAUUUAAAGUCUAGAUCUGGAGUAUAGGGUGUAGAUCUGAAGAAAAAAAUGGGUUAAUGCAUUAAGGAGAAUUAACAGACUAAAGAACUCGACGAGUUCAUGGGAGGACUCGACAAGUUGUAUUGAGGAGUUCCGAUUCUAAAGGAAGAACUCGGCGAGUUGGAGGAAAACUCGACGAGUUAGAUCGCGAUUUCAUGAUUCUAUGAUUCAUGGGAACUCGACGAGUUAAAGGGCAAACUCGACGAGUUGAGUCAAAUCGGAGCAUUGACUUUGACUAUGACUUUGACUUGGACCAAAUUUGACCCUUAAGGGGUUAUGAGUAUGAAAGGGUAAUUAAGGAAAUCGGUUAUGUGUAGGGGAUUGAGUUGGGUUGAUAUUCGGAGUUGGGGACUGUUCAGCUACUUCUAGUUUUCGAGGUGAGUUACCUUCACGGAAUGAGUGGGUCGAAGGGACCAAUGUCGGCCCACUAGUAGUUGCUUACAAUAUAGAUGAUUGUCUUUGUGAUAAUUGUCUGGUAUGCCACUAUCUGCUGAGAUUUAUCUGCUUGUAUGCUAUGUUAUUACGUGGUAAUGGUAUGGGGGGAAGUAGACCCCAUAACCAGUCGGAAGAGAUCGAAAGGGUAGGCCAACACCUAUAUAUGCUAGGCAGUAUGUGAUGUAACACCGUAAAUUUUCAAAAUAAUUUUUCACAAAUAUAAAAACAUUUCUCAUUUAAUUUCAUAAAACGUUAAGUUUAAAAUUCCAAAUCAUGUCAUACAAUCCCAAGAUCUCAUAAAUACAUAUCAAAAGUCCCCUGAGUGUGUACGGAUCAAGCCGGCGCCUUCCCACGGUCAUCGCUAGUACCUGAAACAACAACACUAACACUGUAAGCACGAAGCUUAGUGAGUUCCCCAAAAUACCACACAUAAAACACAUAUUAGCCACUCAAGGCUGUAACUCUAUGGGUCCGUGCACCCAGACUCUGUGAACCCUCAGGUUCUAACUCUAGGAACCUUCCGGUCCCAACUCUGUAAACAUGCAUAGCAUAAUCACAUAGAAAUAAUGCAGUACAACACAUAGCAUACACAUAACAUACACACACCAACACAUAGCUCUGAUUACCUACUCAAGGUAAAGUAUAGUGAGAAGACUCACCUCGCGUGUCUCGGUAUCUCACGAAUCCUGGAAAUCCCUCGUGCUCGAUCCUCCGAGCUCUAAUCCUCCUAUAAUAUCACAUGACUCUAAUUAACACUUUUUAUCUCUAAGGUUGACUAUCCCUAAGAAGUCAACACAGGUCAACUCAGGUCAACGGUCAACGGUCAACUUUGACCGGACUCGGCGAGUGCACAACUCGGCGAGUCUAGACGUUUCCACCAACACCUUAGGAUUCCCUUUUUACUCGUCGAGUACUCCCCCUGACUCAACGAGUUCCACCUGGCAGAAUCGUGGGGCCACCCCGACUCAACUCGCCGAGUUCCAAGAAUAACUUGGCGAGUCCCAGUUCGACUCAGUCCACCUGUCAACCCUCUCUAACUCGCCCUGACUCACUGAGUCAACCCAUGACUCGACUGGACCACUCACUGGCCGGUCCAAGGAAAUCUUCAAGCUACUCGCCGAGUCUGUUCAUCAGACUCGGCGAGUCCAUGCCAUGCAAUCGCUCAAACUCGCUUCUAAGGUCAGAUCUGUUCCAACAAUUCAUAGAUCUGGCCUUUCUAGACUGAUUCACCACGUAAAGCCCCAAACUUGAUGCACAUACAACCUCUAUAUGGCUAUAAAUAAAGGAAUACCAACAAAUAUCACUACCCAUGGUCAUGACCUCCAUUGCUCUCCAUAAAGCUUGAUGAAUGAGGCUCUCUGGACCUCUAUGGAUCCAGAUCCAAAGCCUCAUCACUAGCAAGGGACUAUUUGGCCAUCAAAUCAACUCAACAAGGCCACAAGAAACCCUAAAUCCAACUAUACUCCACAAAACAGAAGAUGAACCGAAAUCAUACCUCUAGAUCGAUGAUCUAAGCUUCAAAUCCGCAGAAUAGCAACCUCCUUUGCCUCCUCUUGGCUAGAACCUCCCUCCUCUUUGCUAGACAACACACAAAGGUCAAGAAAUGCUUCCUUUCUCUCCCAAAUCGCCAAAGCACUAUAGGGUUUCUCUCUAUGGACUGUUGGGUACAAAUGACGCCCAUAAGGCCCUUUAAAUAGGUCCUAAACCCGAGAAAUUAGGGUUUCAUUAAACAGCGCGGACUCGCCGAGUCCAGAUCCUGGACUCGCCGAGUCCAAUCAAAUCCCGCGUCCAGAAUCGCGAUCCUACUCGGCGAGUUUGAGCUCCAACUCACCGAGUCCCCUCUCAAAACACCAAAAAUCAAAGCAAUAAAGGAUACCUGGAAAUCCGGACUGUUACAACUCUCCCCCACUAGAACUAGACUUCGCCCUCGAAGUCUCGCUCUGAAAAUAGCUCCGGAUGCUGCUCCCGCAUCUCGCGCUCUGGCUCCCAGGUCAUCUCCGAUCCCUUCCGGUGUUGCCACUGAACCAACACCAGAGGUACCUCCUUGUUCCUCAGAACCUUGAUCUUCCGAUCCCUGGUGGCCACUGGCCUCUCGGCAUAAUUCAGGCUCGAAUCCACCUGAAUAUCCUCUAAUGGAACCACUGCCGACUCAUCGGCUAUACACUUCUGCAAUUGCGACACAUGAAAAGUGUCGUGGAUCUGCCCUAACUCUGCCGGCAAUUCCAAACGAUAGGCUACCCGACCUACCCUCGCAAUCACACGAAAAGGCCCAAUAUACGGGGGCCCCAACUUGCCCCUCUUCCUGAAUCGGAUCACUCCUUUCCAAGGAGAGACCUUCAGGAGAACGAAGUCGCCAACCUGAAACUCAAGCUCGGACCGACGUCUGUCUGCAUAACUCUUCUGACGGCUCUGGGCGGUCAAUAACCUCUGUCUGACCCGCUGAAUCUGCUCUGUCGUCUGAAGCACGAUCUCUGUACUGCCCAUCACACUCUGCCCAACCUCUCCCCUGCAAAUGGGGGUCCGACACCUCCUACCAUACAACAGCUCAAAGGGUGGCAUACCAAUGCUCGAAUGAUGGCUGUUGUUGUAGGAAAACUCUGCCAAGGGUAAAUACGCAUCCCAGCUACCCCCGAAAUCCAACACGCAUGCUCGAAGCAUGUCCUCAAGCGUCUGAAUCGUCUGCUCACUCUGACCGUCUGUCUGGGGGUGAUAUGCGGUACUAAAAUGCAAUCUAGUACCCAACUCCUCAUGAAAUUUCUUCCAGAAUCUGGAAGUGAAACGCACAUCACGGUCCGAAAUGAUCGAGAUCGGCACCCCAUGCCGAGAUACCACCUCUCUCACAUAUAUCUCUGCCAACUUCUCCGCUGAAGAACUCUCACUGAUGGCAAGGAAGUGAGCGCUCUUCGUCAAUCUAUCCACAAUCACCCAAAUUGCAUCAACUCCUCUGGCAGUUCUCGGCAAUUUGGUGAUGAAAUCCAUAGCGAUCUGUUCCCACUUCCACUCGAGAACCUCCAAUGGCUGCAACUUGCCAUGCGGUCUCUGGUGCUCGGCCUUAACCCUGCGGCAGAUCAAGCACCUCUCAACAAACCAGGCGACGUCCCUUUUCAUACAGGGCCACCAAUACUCUCUCCUCAAAUCCAAAUACAUCUUUGUAGCCCCCGGAUGAAUCGAAAAUUUCGAUCGAUGAGCCUCUUCCAUCAAAGUAGUACGCGUACCGCCCAUAAACGGUACCCAAAUCCGACCCUGAAAAGUCAUAAGCCCUCGACCAUCCGUAACGAACUCUGAAACCAAACCAACGACCCGUUCCCUCUUCUGCAUCUUCGGUCGCACAGCCUCGGCCUGUGCCCCACGAAUGGCAUCCAAUACCGGAGCUAUCACGGUCAAUCUCAAACUUACAUCUCGCAGUGGAGUGCUCUCUGCCCUGCGGCUCAACGCAUCGGCCACCACAUUGGCCUUACCCGGGUGGUACUGGAUCUCACAAUCAUAAUCCUUGACCACAUCUAACCACCUCCUCUGCCGCAUAUUUAGGUUGGGCUGAUCCAUCAAGUACUUCAAACUCUUAUGGUCCGUGUAUAUCGUACACCGAACCCCAUAUAAGUAGUGAUGCCAAAUCUUGAGGGCGAACACUACUGCCCCCAACUCUAGAUCGUGCGUGGGAUAUCUCGUCUCAUGAGGCUUCAGCUGCCUCGAUGCAUAAGUUAUCACAUGUCCCCUCUGCAUCAAUACCGCACCCAGCCCCAUAAUAGAUGCAUCACAAUAUACUACAAAAUCCUCCAUCCCUUCCGGGAGAGCUAAUACCGGGGCUUCGCACAACCUUUGGCGAAGGGUCUCAAAGGAGGUCUGCUGCUCGGGACCCCAUGAGAAUGCAACACCCUUUCGGGUCAAUCUGGUGAGUGGCACUGCGAUCUUGGAGAAAUCCUUGAUAAAUCUCCGAUAAUACCCCGCCAAUCCAAGGAAACUCCUGAUCUCAGAGGGUGACUUCGGCACCUCCCAACUCAUCAUUGCCUCAACCUUGGCCGGAUCGACCAUUAUCCCAUUCUGAUUAACGAGAUGUCCAAGGAACUGAACCUCCCGCAACCAGAAAUCACACUUGGAGAACUUUGCAUAAAGCUUCUCCGAUCUCAAAACCCCAAGGACCUCCCUCAAAUGCUCCUCAUGCUGCUCUCUAGAUCUCGAAUACACUAGAAUAUCAUCGAUAAAUAUAAUCACCGACCGAUCCAACAUCGGCCUGCAUACCCUGUUCAUGAGAUCCAUGAACACAGCCGGGGCAUUGGUGAGCCCAAAAGGCAUCAACACAAACUCACAAUGCCCAUAACGCGUCCUGAACGCUGUCUUCUGGACGUCCCCAUCCCGCACUCUCACCUGAUGAUAUCCCGACCUCAAGUCGAUCUUGGAGAACCAAGAUGCUCCCUGCAACUGAUCGAAUAAAUCAUCGAUCCUCGGCAACGGAUAACGGUUCUUGACCGUCAGCUUGUUCAACUCCCGGUAAUCAAUGCACAUCCGGUGUGAACCAUCCUUCUUCUUGACGAACAGAAUAGGUGCUCCCCACGGCGAGCUGCUCGGCCGAAUAAAUCCCUUCCCCAGCAACUCCUGAAGCUGCGAGGACAGCUCCUGCAUCUUUGGAGGUGUAAGACGAUAAGGCACCUUAGCAAUAGGUGCGGCCCCUGGAACCAAAUCAAUACCAAACUCCACUUGCCUCACAGGAGGCACACCCGGCAACUCCUCAGGAAAAACAUCUGGAAACUCACGCACCACCGGUACCUCCUCAACUGAACUCGGUCUCUCGAAAGUCGCUCGCGUAUCCAUCACAUACGCUACAAAACCCUUACAGCCCUGCUGUAGACACUGCCUUGCCCUAGCGGCCGAACAAAAAGCUGAUCCUGAACGUGUACCCUCGCCGUACACUGAAAGAACUCCUCCACUAGGGUUUCGUAUGGUCACCAGCUGACGCUCGCAGUCGAUAACCGCACCGAAUCGGCUCAACCAGUCCAUGCCCACAAUGACACAGACAUCACCCAUCGCAAUAGGAAUCAGAUCAAUCAGAAACUCGACCCCGAAAAUCUCUAACACGCAUCCCCGGAGAACCUCCGUGGCACAAAUCACUCUAUCGUCAGCUAUGGAAACUCUUAGAGGUCGACUCAAUACCUCACGACUAACACUGAUAUGCUGACUAAAGGCUGAAGAUACAAAAGACCGACUCGCACCCGAGUCGAAUAACACUAAAGCAGGUACAGAGCUCACAAGAAAAGUACAUACGCAUAACAUAAUAUAAGCAUAAUAUCUCAACAUCAAAAUAAAUACAUGAAAGGAAACAUACCAGCCACAACAUCGGGCGCAACGCGGACCUCCUCCACAGUCAGCUGGAAGGCCCUCCCUCGAGCUCUCGGCGCCUCGACCUUCACAGGCCGACUCUCAGUAGCUCUGAUGGCGACAGGAGCAGAUCCCUGAGAUGCUCCGCGCAACUGCGGACACUCGGCCUUACGGUGUCCGGUCUGGUUGCAGUGAAAACACACUGCAAACCCCUUGGGGCAGUCCCUGGCCAUGUGCCCCUCCUUGCCACAUUUGUAGCAAGACCCCGCUCGACAAACUCCGUCAUGACCCUUGCCGCACUUCCCGCAAGUGCGGCCCUUCUGGCUCCCUGGUUUGGGAUCAGCGGGCUUGGGCCGCUUGGCUGCCGGCUGAGACUGUGCCGGUCGCCGAUCCCUCCCCUGAGACUCCGCCUCCUCCCUGGCCUGAGUCUCAAGCUCAAUCUCCCUCUUCCGGGCAUUCGCCUGAAGCUCAGCAAAUUUCCGGUACGAGGAGUUCGCAGCGAACUCCCGAAUAUCCCGCCUCAGAAUGCUCAAGUAGCAGCUCAUACGUGCCUGCUCAGUGGACACGUGCUCAGGGCAGAACAUCGCCCUCUCCUGGAACAUCCUCGUGAUCGCUGUAACUGACUCACUACCCUGCUUGAGGGUCAGAAACUCCUGUGCCAAACGCUCCCUCUCCACCUAGGGAACGUACUCAUCCCGAAACAUGGUAGUGAAUCUCUCCCAGGUCACUGCCGAAAGCUCAGCAGGCGUAUAAUGCGCCGUAACAAACUUCCACCAGUCCUUCGCUCCCAAGCGAAGCUGGUUCAGCGCAAACCGAACCUUCAAAUGCUCAGGAGACGAGCAAGUGAAGAAACACCCCUCAAUAUCAGAUAUCCACCUCAUAGCUGCCACCGGAUCCUGAGUCCCAUCAAACUCUGGUGGUUUUGUGUUGCUGAACUCGCGGAACAGCAACGCAUCACCACCCUGCGGCCUCGCAGCAGCAAUCGCUGUAGUAGCCGCUGCAGCAGCAGCCUCAGAAAGAGCGGCAUAAUGCUUAUCAAACGUCUCAAUCAAAGUGGUCUUUAUAGACCCAAACAUCUCAGGUAUCUCUGCCCUGAUGGCCGCAGCCACCUCCUCCUGAAUGAUCUGGCGGAUCUCCUCCUCACUGGUACCACUACUCUCGGGCAUCAAACGUGUCCUCACCAUGAUUAACCUCUGAAAUACAACAUACGAUAAAUUAUAAUCCACACGAGCAUACUCACACUCGACAACUCUUCCCUCCUCGAUUCUUGGCAUUCCAAGGAUUCUUACUUGGAUUGCACACCGCUCCGGUGCUUCCAGUAGUACGGGCCCAAUACUACUGUCCGCACCACACCAGAAUGCACUCCAAGUCCUCCUCUUCGGAUCCCAAGUCCCAAGUACUCUAUCAUGCGUAAAUCACUCUCUAAUAGAUCUCUCAUAAGCCCCUCACUGCUACCUACUCACUCUCAAGCAUCUCCUAGCAGCUCACCCUCCCUAGGCUAAGGCAUCACAAAUCAGGCCACUCUAAUCCUAAUAGUAAUACCUCGCCUAUUCUAGCAUGCAGAUACAUCGCAUCAAUAUUAACCUAAUAUGAAGGUAUUUUGGGAAACCACCGUUCGGGCGCUGACUGAUCGUACACACAUCUCUUGCUCUGCAUUUUUCAAAAAUCUUUUACUCUCUUUUUUUUUUUUUUGAAAAUACAUCUCAAAUCCUCAGUUUGAGUUCAAAUACGCCCAAAGGUGUAUUCGAAUCCCUCAAACCAAGGCUCUGAUACCAACUUGUAACACCGUAAAUUUUCAAAAUAAUUUUUCACAAAUAUAAAAACAUUUCUCAUUUAAUUUCAUAAAACGUUAAGUUUAAAAUUCCAAAUCAUGUCAUACAAUCCCAAGAUCUCAUAAAUACAUAUCAAAAGUCCCCUGAGUGUGUACGGAUCAAGCCGGCGCCUUCCCACGGUCAUCGCUAGUACCUGAAACAACAACACUAACACUGUAAGCACGAAGCUUAGUGAGUUCCCCAAAAUACCACACAUAAAACAUAUAUUAGCCACUCGAGGCUGUAACUCUAUGGGUCCGUGCACCCAGACUCUGUGAACCCUCAGGUUCUAACUCUAGGAACCUUCCGGUCCCAACUCUGUAAACAUGCACAACAUAAUCACAUAGAAAUAAUGCAGUACAACACAUAGCAUACACAUAACAUACACACACCAACACAUAGCUCUGAUUACCUACUCAAGGUAAAGUAUAGUGAGAAGACUCACCUCGCGUGUCUCGGUAUCUCACGAAUCCUGGAAAUCCCUCGUGCUCGAUCCUCCGAGCUCUAAUCCUCCUAUAAUAUCACAUGACUCUAAUUAACACUUUUUAUCUCUAAGGUUGACUAUCCCUAAGAAGUCAACACAGGUCAACUCAGGUCAACGGUCAACUUUGACCGGACUCGGCGAGUGCACAAGGGCAACUCGGCGAGUCUAGACGUUUCCACCAACACCUUAGGAUUCCCUUUUUACUCGUCGAGUACUCCCCCUGACUCGACGAGUUCCACCUGGCAGAAUCGCGGGGCCACUCCGACUCAACUCGCCGAGUUCCAAGAACAACUCGGCGAGUCCCAGUUCGACUCAGUCCACCUGUCAACCCUCUCUAACUCGCCCUGACUCACUGAGUCAACCCAUGACUCGACUGGACCACUCACUGGCUGGUCCAAGGAAAUCUUCAAGCUACUCGCCGAGUCUGUUCAUCAGACUCGGCGAGUCCAUGCCAUGUAAUCGCUCAAACUCGCUUUUAAGGUCAGAUAUGUUCCAACAAUUCAUAGAUCUGGCCUUUCUAGACUGAUUCACCACGUAAAGCCCCAAACUUGAUGCACAUACAACCUCUAUAUGGCUAUAAAUGAAGGAAUACCAACAAAUAUCACUACCCAAGGUCAUGACCUCCAUUGCUCUCCAUAAAGCUUGAUGAAUGAGGCUCUCUGGACCUCUAUGGAUCCAGAUCCAAAGCCUCAUCACUAGCAAGGGACUAUUUGGCCAUCAAAUCAACUCAACAAGGCCACAAGAAACCCUAAAUCCAACUAUACUCCACAAAACAGAAGAUGAACCGAAAUCAUACCUCUAGAUCGAUGAUCUAAGCUUCAAAUCCGCAGAAUAGCAACCUCAUUUGCCUCCUCUUGGCUAGAACCUCCCUCCUCUUUGCUAGACAACACACAAAGGUCAAGAAAUGCUUCCUUUCUCUCCCAAAUCGCCAAAGCACUAUAGGGUUUCUCUCUAUGGACUGUUGGGUACAAAUGACGCCCAUAAGGCCCUUUAAAUAGGUCCUAAACCCGAGAAAUUAGGGUUUCAUUAAACAGCACGGACUCGCCGAGUCCAAUCAAAUCCCGCGUCCAGAAUCGCGAUCCUACUCGGCGAGUUUGAGCUCCAACUCGCCGAGUCCCCUCUCAAAACACCAAAAAUCAAAGCAAUAAAGGAUACCUGGAAAUCCGGACUGUUACAUGUGAUUUAUGUGCUUAUAUGAUAGGAUAUUAUAUGGUAGUGAUAGGGGGUGAAAUAGACCCCGUAACCGAUUGAAAGAGACCGAAGGGGUAGACAACACCCAUAUAUGCUAGGCAGUUACCAGUUAAAAGAGACCGAAGGGGUAGAACAACACCCUGAUAUGCUAGGCGGUUACCGGUUGAAAGAGACCGAAAGGGUAGGCCAACACCCUAAUAUGUUAGGCAAUAUCGGUUGAAAGAGACCGAAGGGGUAGGUCAGCACCCGAAUAUGCUAGGCGGUAUGUUUAUUGUAUGGUAUGUGGUAUGAUGGGGGAACUCACUAAGUUUCGUGCUUACGGUUUUCAAUUUUGGUUUCAGGUACUUCUACUUCGAAAGGAAAUGAGUCGGCAUGAUCGCAACGCAUCACACUAUGAUUUUCCGCAUAUGUGAUCUUUGGGAUUUGUACUCUGAUGUUGUUUUACUAUGACAUGUUUUGGUUAUUGAGAUAUUGGUUUUGGUUGUGAUAUGGGAUGACACUAUUGAUGUUUUCUGACUAUUGUUUUUUUUUAUAUAAUUACGUAAUUAAAAAAUAAAAUUUUUGGUCAUGAAUUUUGGAAUGUUACAGGUUUGGACCUUCAAAUCAUCCAAGAUGCAAGUACAAAUUUGUUUCUAAUUCAUCCAUAAGAGGAGAAAAAUUGAGCAUGCAAAUUUCUGGUGCGUCGGCUUUUCAAUAGUAGUGUUGUGGUGCAUCAGCGUUCAGUGGUGCCCGUAAUCAUUUGGUGGCCCGACGAUGGAGCAACAAGUAAAGAAAGAAGAAAGAAUCGCGGUAUUAGGGUUUAACCUAGUUUUUUUAAAGCAACAUUUAUUUUUUGUCCAAAAGACAUUUGCAAGUAUGAGAAAAUGACGCACAAACUUUUUGACUUCUGCAGUUUUCUAAAAAACAGACAGUUUGCGAAAGAAA